rnacentral:rRNA from 1 species
CCUACGGGAGGCAGCAGUGGGGAAUUUUGGACAAUGGGCGCAAGCCUGAUCCAGCAAUGCCGCGUGAGUGAAGAAGGCCUUCGGGUUGUAAAGCUCUUUUGUCAGGGAAGAAACGGUGGUUCCUAAUACGGACUACUAAUGACGGUACCUGAAGAAUAAGCACCGGCUAACUACGUGCCAGCAGCCGCGGUAAUACGUAGGGUGCAAGCGUUAAUCGGAAUUACUGGGCGUAAAGCGUGCGCAGGCGGUUAUAUAAGUCAGAUGUGAAAUCCCCGGGCUCAACCUGGGAACUGCAUUUGAGACUGUAUGGCUAGAGUGUGUCAGAGGGGGGUAGAAUUCCACGUGUAGCAGUGAAAUGCGUAGAUAUGUGGAGGAAUACCGAUGGCGAAGGCAGCCCCCUGGGAUAACACUGACGCUCAUGCACGAAAGCGUGGGGAGCAAACAGGAUUAGAUACCCUGGUAGUCCACGCCCUAAACGAUGUCUACUAGUUGUCGGGACUUAAUUGUNUUGUACGUACAGCUACGCGUGAGAGACGCCGCGGAGGUACGGUCGCGAGAAGUUAAACGUUAAAGUAAGUAAGUUAGUACGGACGUGAGACGUAGACGACGGACGACGACGAGGGAGGAGG